CUUCCAGCACUUUCUCCCUUUUAUGUCUUCCGUUUUCCUUUGACUUUGUAACCCUUCAGUGGCUAGAUGGAAAUGGAAUGAAGCGUUUGCCUUGCGUUUGCGUUUUUUCUUCAGCUUCCAGACCUAUCAAGUUCUCAGCAGGUGCACUUCUAUUUAACUGUUUGCGUUUUGCGAAUACUAGGAGACGAUAAUGUGCGGCCACAAAAGGGCUCCCAUGAAGUCCUCAGCAGAUUUUCUGCUUCACUAUUCUGUGGUAAGGUUUCUUCUCGAAUUUUCUGUGGGGAUCGAAUGCGACAUCGUCGGCGCACCUGGCGACUGAGUUGAAGCAGCGACCAACUGACAUGAAGGUUUCACCAAUUCUUUUGGUGGGAUGUGGUUGCAACUCAUAAUGCUUAUUCUCAAAAGAAGCACGAGCAGCAACAAAAGAAAAAGCAAAAAGGUUGGCUGAAGCUUGGCUUUGAGUAAAGAACUCUUGAAAGCUACCACUUGCAUGCUUUGUUUCCCUCUUUUUAAUGUGUAUGUCUUUUGUUAGAUUUUUUCCUCUUUACGACUGUGUUUUUUCUCUAAUAUAGCAACUGAGUUUUUUUCUCGAAUAUACUAUUUAACACGGCUUUCUAUAUGCCUGAAGCUCUUAAUAUCCAUUGUCAACUCUAUCUUCAAGUCAGUAUAAGUAAAGCUAUCUAUAUUGGGUAAUGUCCAAGUUUUUGCAUUGUUUUUCUAGGUUACUCUCAUCUGUGUUGGUUGAGUGAGAAUGAAUAGUUAUAAACUCACUUGAAAACCAUUAAAGCAUAAUAUAUGACUAUAUUGUUGAUGGGUUGAAAUUGGUUUGCCUUCCCAGUUUUAAAAAAUUGUUUCUGUGAUUAGAAAUUAGGUUGUUUUGGCAGAUGAGUAGUUUUGUUUUUUUGUGAUUGUAAUAGAGGUUUUGAGGGGAAAUGAAAGGAUGCUAGGCAAUUCCAUUAGACAAAUUAAAAGGGGGAGACAAGGCUUGCAGAAUCAAGAAAAGAAGUUGAUUGUAGAGAUAAAAAAGAAUGCAAACAAGGACAGAUGAUGUCAUACCAUUUAUUUGAUUAUUUCUAUUUCAUUAUUAGUAGCCAUUCUUAAGUAAGUAAAGAGGGCCUCUCACAGAGUUUGAAGGGCAGUGAGUGUGGCAAAAUGAGUUUUAUAUUCGGCAGUUGAAAGACUCCCAUAGGUACUUCUCUUUUAGAGUGUUUGCCAAUUUUUAUUUUAUGGAUUUGUUGUCUUUGUGAUUGGGUUUGAUUGAAUGGAGGGGGAAGAUAAUGGGUUGAAAUUGGUUUGCCUUCCCAGUUUUAAAAAAUUGUGUCUUUGAUUAGGAAUUUGUUUGUUAUUAUUGAUUGGUAGUUUUUUUGGUGUGAUUGUGAAAGAUCUUUUGAGGGAAAGUGAAAGGAUGCUUGACAUUCCCGUUAGAGAAAUUGGAAGGGAAAGACAAGGCUUUCAGUUACAAAAAUUGUAUUGAUAAUUAAUCAUUGUGACUUUAUUUUGAGCACUAUAUUUAACCACAUAAACAGGAGUCCCUUUUAAUUAAUAAAAUACAGGUUUCAUAGUUAAAAAAAUCAAUGGUCAUGAGUUAUUAUGCAUUAAGGAGUAUUAAGUGUGUUUAAGGGCUAUCAUUAUAUGUUAUGAAACCACUAAACAUUAACUUUAUGUCUAUUUAGUAUUUUUAAUUGAGGUGUUAUGUAUUGGUCAUGAAUUACUCUUUAAUAAAUGGAGAACCAUCUCAUGUUGCAUGGGUAAGAUGUGUGACAAAGCAACAGAAUUCCUCAUUUUUUAUCACAGGAUAGGUAACUUAGCUAUUUUUCAGAGAUACAUUUUUUUUAAAGAAUUUUUUCAGAGAUACAUGCCCUGUUUGAGAUUGAGAUUUGGAAUAUUUGAAGGUGUAAUGUAGAGUGACCUGGAGAAAGAGAGCGAGAGAUCUGAAUCGAUGAGCGGUGACUGAGGUCCUUCUUUUUGGUCUUCUUCUAACUUUCGGUGAACUUCUUUUCAGUUUUUUGUACAAACAAUUAACCUCAGCAUCUCAUCACUUUUAACAUAAUUGUAAGCCUCUCUUUCGAAUUGGUGGUCGGGCAUAAACAAGAAAGAAAAGAAAAACUGAAAUUGGAAUUUUUUUCCUGAUGAUUUUCUUCUAAUUGAUCCAGGCGGGACUAAUUGCAGGCAACAUAGCAUUUAUGUGUAAGUGUAAAUUCAGGUUCCCUCUGACACGAUUGUCCUGCACGAUGCUGGGACAAGAGGUUCGACAACUGCUUAACAGUGAAACAAAACUUAACAACAGAAACAAUAACACACAGUAAUUGUUAACCCAGUUCAGUGAAAACUUUCACCUACGUCUGGAGGGUUUGCACCCAAAGAAAGGAAAUCCACUAUCUCAAGAUUCAGGAAUUACAGACACUCAUGAACACCUCAGUUCAUAGUUCACUUCCUAAUCUACCCAGUGUAUUUCUACUUAGAAUCUCAACCUAAGUAUGAGAGCCCCUCUCACUUCCUCUCAAUCACUGCCACAGUGAUUGGUAAACACAAUGAACAAUCAGAGUUUGAAUGUAAUCAAACAACACAGAACCCUUCUUUGCUUUAUAGAAUCAGUGAGCAAAGAGGAUUCACAAAUAACAAGAACGAAGCACAAUAACAAAUCCUAAAACACUGGAUCUCUCUCUAUCAGCUUCGGUCAUCUUCACGUUUUAGGUCUUCAUCCUUUUAUAGACUUCAGCAGCGGUAGCAUGGGCUUUAGGGUUGGCACGGGCUGAAGAAACAGAUAUCAGUAACAGCAAUUCAAAAACACAAUCUUGAUAGAUUCGGUUUCUUAUUGCACAAGUAACGAUAGAAACCAAUCUUUUAGCAAAUAUUGUUUCAACAAAUAACAACCCCACAAUUAAAACCCUUCUGGAUAGCUACUUGCUCCUCAAGUAACUCAAAAACAUAUCUUCAGUAAAUCUUCAGAGGGCCCACAACAUAAACACAAGCUGAGGACUGAUGCCCUAGCUUCACGAGGUCAGAUGCCACGGCAUCUGCUUCGACAAUCGGUUGUUUUGACAAAAUGCAUGGCGACAUGUUCCAACAGUAAGCUAUUUGGGAGAUUCAACCGUGCUUUUGGAUUUAUCAUUGAUUUUGGCAUGCUGUAUUACAUGUUUGCACUGGGCAUACAAAUGGAUCAUUUUGUUCUUUUCGUGCAACCACACAAGCAUGCUAAACUUGCUUAUGCACGAGAUAUUUCAACUUUCCUCCUAGCAAUUAUCUUAACCUCAAUGGGGAAAACAAGCUUCUAUAAUUCACCUUCUCCCUCUCAGCUCUUCUUCUAGCACAAACUCCCCAGUCCUGACCCGUUUGAUAACUCACCACAACGAUGGAAAAUUAGAUAUUAGAAGAGUUCUUUUAUUAGUUUACUGAUUUUGUUGUCCUUAUCAUGAUUGUUCUGUUUUCUGCUUUGCAUGUAUUGUUUUCUUCAUUUCUUCUUCUUAAAAUGGUUGUUCUGUUUCUUUGUUUCCUCUUAUUUGUUAUGUUUUGGGGUUUGGGUUAUAGUGGUUAAUCUUACUAUGUCUUCACUUUAUCAUGUAUAAUGCAGGUCAAUAUGAGCAUGCCUGCAUUUCGUGUAACCGACUACCUUGGGGCUUUUCGGGUGAAGUUUGAAUGGAUACAUGUUUGUUUCUUUUUGCUCUAUUAAGCCAAUCUAAUCCAAAUUAAAUCUGGGAACAUAAAUUGAGGCCCUUGAAGGUAAGGACUUUAGAAAGUUGUCAUGGUUUGUGGUUUAUUUUGUAAACAGUGGCAUACUUAAUUGUAUAGGGUGCCUAGAGAAAUGGAAAAACCAUAUUUUUUGAAUAGGCUACUAAUUUGGAGAGGUGAAUUGUUUUUUUCUGAAAUUCCUACUUGCAGACAUGUGAAUACAACAUGUUUCUUUUACCCGUGUUUUAUCGAUUCUCCCUGAUGUGACUUUGAGUCUUCCUUCAACUUUUGCUGUUAUAUUUUAGGGUUAACUUUUGUUGUCAUUAUUUAUUCAGUGUAUGCUGCUUUUUUAUCAUUCAUAUUGCCUUUAUUAAGAGCUCUAACUCUCUAAUUCUAUUUCUCCCCAUGUGGAUAUCCUAUGUGUCAUUUUUCUCAUUAUUUGACCUUCCUUUUGACCAUUCACAUGGUCAGAGAUCAAAUAGAAUAGAGUCUUUGAACCAAGAUGGCUUCUAUGACGGUUAUCAGUAAUUGUUAUCUCAUAGCUUCUCUGAUUAAUAGGUUGCUAAUUUGGAAAGGUUAACUUCUUAACCGCUUUAUCAAUCUCUUAUGGUCAGUUGGGUCUAUUGAUUCCGUUCCAAAAACAUGCUUCUUUGACAGUGUUGUUGUGCAAGUGUAUAAUUACAUCUCUCCUUUUAAAAUUACUCUGUUUACAAGCCGAGGGUGCUGCUAAAAGGACUGAGGAGGCUGGGUUUGUUGUUGUUGCCCAUGUUCCUGAGCUUCCAAUGCCAGAAAUCUUGCAUGGAUUGCAAGUGCAACAAACUUCACAAAGCUGUGAAGUGUAUCUAGAUAUAGAAAGAAUAUAUAAAGUGUAUCAAGUUUUCACGUUUUUUCAACUUUCUUUCUUUCUAUGUUUCUUUCUUUUGUGGGCUUAGGAUUCUGAGUUCCCAUUUGUACUGUCAAUGGAUGAUAUUUUCGAUUUUGAAGGGCAUUAUGACACCAGCUAUGAUGUAUUGGAAUUGAAACUUAGUGGAAUUUUGAAAUGGUGUAGAGCGAUGAAAUAAAA